UACUCCGGGGAUAACAGGCUGAUACCGCCCAAGAGUUCAUAUCGACGGCGGUGUUUGGCACCUCGAUGUCGGCUCAUCACAUCCUGGGGCUGAAGUAGGUCCCAAGGGUAUGGCUGUUCGCCAUUUAAAGUGGUACGCGAGCUGGGUUUAGAACGUCGUGAGACAGUUCGGUCCCUAUCUGCCGUGGGCGCUGGAGAAUUGAGGGGGGCUGCUCCUAGUACGAGAGGACCGGAGUGGACGCAUCACUGGUGUUCGGGUUGUCAUGCCAAUGGCACUGCCCGGUAGCUAAAUGCGGAAGAGAUAAGUGCUGAAAGCAUCUAAGCACGAAACUUGCCCCGAGAUGAGUUCUCCCUGAGACUUUAAGUCUCCUGAAGGAACGUUGAAGACGACGACGUUGAUAGGCCGGGUGUGUAAGCGCAGCGAUGCGUUGAGCUAACCGGUACUAAUGAACCGUGAGGCUUAACCUUACAACGCCGAAG
rnacentral:rRNA from 1 species